ACGGCCAUACCAUGCUGAAUAUACCGGUUCUCGUUAGAUCACCGAAGUCAAGCAUAAUUGGGCGCGGUCAGUACUUGGGUGGGUGACCACCUGGGAACACCGCGUGCCGUUG
rnacentral:rRNA from 1 species